rnacentral:rRNA from 1 species
CCUAACACAUGCAAGUCGAGCGAACCCCUCGGGGUUAGCGGCGGACGGGUUAGUAACGCGUGGGAACGUGCCCAAGGGUACGGAAUAGCAUCGGGAAACUGGUGGUAAUACCGUAUGUGCCCUUCGGGGGAAAGAAUUUCGCCUUUGGAUCGGCCCGCGUAAGAUUAGGUAGUUGGUGAGAUAACGGCUCACCAAGCCUACGAUCUUUAUCUGGUUUGAGAGGAUGAUCAGAAACACUGGGACUGAGACACGGCCCAGACUCCUACGGGAGGCAGCAGUGGGGAAUCUUGGACAAUGGGCGCAAGCCUGAUCCAGCCAUGCCGCGUGAGUGAAGAAGGCCUUAGGGUUGUAAAGCUCUUUCAGGGGUGAGGAUUAUGACAGUAACCCCAGAAGAAGCACCGGCUAACUUCGUGCCAGCAGCCGCGGUAAUACGAAGGGUGCAAGCGUUGUUCGGAAUCACUGGGCGUAAAGGGCGUGUAGGCGGAUGGACAAGUUAGAGGUGAAAGCCCCGGGCUCAACCUGGGAACUGCCUUUAAAACUGUUCAUCUAGAAUCCGGGAGGGGAGUGUGGAAUUCCUAGUGUAGAGGUGAAAUUCGUAGAUAU